AUGAACAUGAGUGCGAACCAUGAUGCAGAACGCUGGAUAAAAUCUGGCCUAAGAAAAUAUGCCCGUGAGCCAACACUGGACGCAAACACGGCACACAGAAAACUCUGUCAGAGGGGAACAUGGGGGAGAGAAGAGCAGCCGUAUCCUGAUCACCCAGAGAGAUGUGAGGGCUGUUGGCAGGUGCUGUGUAAAGAGGGUCUGAAUAGGCGCAGUUAUUGGGAGUCGGAUCGAAGAGGAAAUGGGAGUGACAGAGAAAAAUCGGCAGGAGUGGAGAGUUUGGGGACUGUUGGCGUCGACGUAAUGACAAGUCCUGGAGUUUGCGAUGCUUUGACAACAGUUACAUCGCCUUUCAUAAUGCUAGGAGUAUUGCUUUACCUGCUCCCUCGUCUUAUUCGAACAGAGUAG
rnacentral:lncRNA from 13 species